AAGCCGCCGAAGAGAAAAGGGAACAAUGUCAGUCCCGAGAGAGAGGAAUAGGAGACGUGGUUCACGGCCGUGGAACUGACCCAAGUGGGGAAAUCCAUCAUGACCGAGCUUCACCUAACAAGGAAUCAUCGAGUCUCAUCCAAGGGGCAGAGCAGCAGAAUAUGGUAACACCUAUCCACACCACGGCUGAAGUUGGAAACAGGACUGUGGCUCCAGUGACCUCAACAACAAAGGCAGACACAGAUCUAACGUCUACAUUCUCUGAGCUCCUGACACAGUGGAGCGAGUACCAAUUGUUCCAGCUGACAAAAUUCUAUCGGGAGAGACUGAAACAGGCGAUUGAAGAAAGGGUUGAGAGUCUCGGCUUCAUGAUGAGAUGGCACGGAUAUUUCAGUGAACAAGAA